rnacentral:rRNA from 1 species
UACCAGCACCCCGAGUUGUUGGGACGAUUAUUGGGCCUAAAGCAUCCGUAGCCUGUUCUGCAAGUCCUCCGUUAAAUCCACCUGCUUAACAGAUGGGCUGCGGAGGAUACUAUGGAGCUAGGAGGCGGGAGAGGCAAGCGGUACUUAGUGGGUAGGGGUAAAAUCCGUUGAUCCAUUGAAGACCACCAGUGGCGAAGGCGGCUUGCCAGAACGCACUCGACGGUGAGGGAUGGAAGCUGGGGGAGCAAACCGG